rnacentral:ribozyme from 12 species
AUUAUUAUAAUUAAUUAAUUAGUAGAACAAUGGCGUCUCAUAUGUAUGUUUUUCUUUUUUUUCAUGUUUUUCUUUUUUUCAUGUUUUUCUUUUGUUUCAUUAUUAA